UAGCUCAGCUGGAUAGAGCAACGGCCUUCUAAGCCGUCGGUCGGGGGUUCGAAUCCCU
rnacentral:tRNA from 1 species